GCAAACUUGGUCAUUUAGAGGAAGUAAAAGUCGUAACAAGGUUUCUGUAGGUGAACCUGCGGAAGGAUCAUUAACGAAUAUCUAUGGCGUUGGUUGUAGCUGGCUUCUAAGAGCAUUUUGUGCACACCUGUCAUUUAUAUCAUCUUUCCACCUGUGAACUAUGUGUAGGCCUGGAUACUCCUCGCUUUGGCAACAAAGCGGAUGCAAGGAUUGCUGCGUCGACAAGGCUGGCUCUCUUUGAAUUUCCAGGUUCUAUGUCUUUUACACACCCCAUUUGAAAGAUAUAGAAUGUAGUCAAUGGGCUUUCAUGCCUAUAAAACACUAUACAACUUUCAGCAACGGAUCUCUUGGCUCUCGCAUCGAUGAAGAACGCAGC
rnacentral:misc_RNA from 1 species